AUGGGCCCUCGAAAUCCUGUGGCCGGAGGAUUCAGUUCGGAGUAGGCGGCCGUGCAGGCGGGACUGGAACGGGGGAUCCUAUCAAGGACCCGCCCGCCGGCGCGCCGUCGCCCUCUCCGAACGCAUUUGUCUCCGGCCCGAAGGACGCCGCGACCGGUUGGGGACCGGACUGAGGGGCGUGCGGGGAAGUUCGCCGUGGGACCCGUAAGGGUCCCGCGGACGUUGUCCCCGUCGCCAGUGUCUCGGUGCCCGACCGUGGUGUCGCUAGGCCCGUCAGGGCCUCCACCGCCUCCUCCAUUCGCUUGGACGCCGGGUGUCGGCGGCAGGGGUUCCUCCCCCUCGGCGGGCGCACGGAUCGACGCCGUGGCCCAGCCUUGGGAGUGCCUCGUUGGCUGCCGAAAGGACCCGUUGGAGUUGCCGGCGGUCAGCGGCGAGUAGAUCGGUCACCCAUCCGACCCGUCUUGAAACACGGACCAAGGAGUCUAACAUGUGCGCGAGUCAAUGGGUCUCGAACAAGCCCAGAGGCGCAAUGAAAGCGAAGAACGGCAUCAGCCGUGCGAGUCGAGAUCUCCCGUCCAGAGAGGGCGGGAGCGCAUCGACGACCCGUCCCGUCGGGCUUGCCCGUACGGCGGAGUUUGAGCGUACACGUUGGGACCCGAAAGAUGGUGAACUAUGCCCGGGCAGGACGAAGCCAGAGGAAACUCUGGUGGAGGUCCGUAGCGGUUCUGACGUGCAAAUCGAUCGUCAGAUCCGGGUCUAGGGGCGAAAGACCGAUCGAAUCAUC
rnacentral:rRNA from 1 species